AGAGUUUGAUCCUGGCUCAGAAUGAACGCUAGCGUUAGGCCUAACACAUGCAAGUUUAACGAAGUUUUUUUUUAAAAGCUUAGUGGCAAACGGGUGAGUAAUACGGGAGAAGCUACCUUACAAUUCAGUUAAAUACUGAAUAAAUAGUAAAACUUUAUUUUAUUAUAAAAGCAAAGUAUAAAUAGAAUAGAAAUAUGUAUUACCAUUAUUUCUAUUGUAUUUUUCUGUUGUAAGACGUGCUCACGUAGGAUUAGGUAGUUGGUGAGAUAACGGCUCACCAAGCCUAUGAUCCUUAGCUGAUUUGAGAGAAUGAUCAGCCACAUUGGAACUUAGACACGGUCCAAACGUUUUUUAACGGCAGCAGUGAGGAAUCUUGGACAAUGGGCGAAAGCCUGAUCCAGCCAUAACGCACGAGUGAAGAAGGCUGUAUUGGCUGUAAAACUCUAGGUUUAAAUUAAGAUUAUGACAUUUUUUAAAUGAAUAGUCCCGGCUAACUUCGUGCCAGCAGCCGCGGUAAUACGAGGGGGGCAAGCGUUAUUCGAAAUGAUUGGGCGUAAAGGGCAUCUAGGCGGUCUAUUAGUUUUAAAUAGUUAAUAAAUACCAGAGCUUAACUGUGGUAAUUAGUUUAAAAUUAGUAAACUAGAGUAAGUAAAAGGAAAAUGGAAUUUCUGGAGGAGAGGUAAAAUUUGUAGAUCUCAGAAGGAACACCAAAAGCGAAGGCAAUUUUCUAGUACUUAACUGACGCUGACGUGCGAAAGCGUGGGGAGCAAGCAGGAUUAGAUACCCUGUUAGUCCACGCCGUCAACGAUGAUAAUUCAUUAUUAGUAAUUUUAUUUAGUAAAAUUAGUAGUGGUCUAGCUAACGCGUUAAAUUAUCCGCCUGAAAACUACGAUCGCAAGAUUAAAACUCAAAGAAAUAGACGGGGGCUCACACAAGUGGUGGAACAUGUGGUUUAAUUCGACACAACGCGCAAAACCUUACCAGCCCUUGACAUAAAUUAGAAUUAAAAUAGUUAUUAUUUUACUAUACAAUUUACAGGUGCUGCAUGGCUGUCGUCAGCUCGUGUCGUAAGAUGUUUGGUUAAGUCCUUUAACGAGCGCAACCCUCAUGAAAUAUUGCAAAUUUUUUUUAAAAAAAAAAAUAGAACUAUUUUCAUACUGCCAGUGAUAUACUGGAGGAAGGUGAGGAUGACGUCAAGUCGUCAUGGCCCUUAUGGGCUGGGCUACACACGUGUUACAAUAAUGAUUACAAAAGCAAGCAAUUAUGCAAAUAAGAGCGAAUGCCUAAAACUCAUUUUAAUUCGGAUUGUUCUCUGCAACUCGAGGACAUGAAGUUGGAAUCACUAGUAAUCGUGGAUCAGCAUGCCACGGUGAAUAUGUACCUGAGCCUUGUACACACCGCCCGUC
rnacentral:rRNA from 1 species